CGGGCCUAACACAUGCAAGUCGAACGAGAAAACCUUCGGGUGAGUACAGUGGCGCACGGGUGAGGAACGCGUAGGUAAUCUACCCUCUGGCGGGGGACAACACUCCGAAAGGAAUGCUAAUACCGCAUAAGACCACACUUACCUCGGUGAGAGUGGUAAAAGGCGCCUCAAAGCGCCACCAGAGGAUGAGCCUGCGUCCCAUCAGCUUGUUGGUAAGGUAACGGCUUACCAAGGCUAAGACGGGUAGCUGGUCUGAGAGGAUGAUCAGCCACACUGGCACUGGAACACGGGCCAGACUCCUACGGGAGGCAGCAGUGAGGAAUAUUGGGCAAUGGGCGAAAGCCUGACCCAGCCACGCCGCGUGUGUGAUGAAGGCCUUCGGGUCGUAAAGCACUGUGGGGAGAGACGAAAAUGCGCAGGAGGAAAUGCUUGCGUACUGACGGUACCUCCUUAGCAAGCACCGGCUAACUCUGUGCCAGCAGCCGCGGUAAUACAGAGGGUGCAAACGUUGCUCGGAUUUACUGGGCGUAAAGCGCGUGUAGGCGGACUCGCAAGUCGGUUGUGAAAUCCCUGGGCUCAACCUAGGAACUGCAUCCGAAACUGCGGGUCUUGAGUAAUGGAGAGGGUGGCGGAAUUCCCGGUGUAGAGGUGAAAUUCGUAGAUAUCGGGAGGAACAUCAGUGGCGAAGGCGGCCACCUGGACAUUCACUGACGCUGAGACGCGAAAGCGUGGGGAGCAAACAGGAUUAGAUACCCUGGUAGUCCACGCCGUAAACGAUGAGAACUAGGUGCAGCGGAUAUUGACCUCUGCUGUGCCGUAGCUAACGCGUUAAGUUCUCCGCCUGGGGAGUACGGCCGCAAGGCUAAAACUCAAAGGAAUUGACGGGGGCCCGCACAAGCAGUGGAGCAUGUGGUUUAAUUCGAAGCAACGCGCAGAACCUUACCAGGGCUAGAAAAACUGAGAAUCCUGACGAAACUCGGGAGUGC
rnacentral:rRNA from 1 species